rnacentral:rRNA from 1 species
CCUACGGGUGGCAGCAGUGGGGAAUAUUGCACAAUGGGGGAAACCCUGAUGCAGCGACGCCGCGUGAGUGAGGAAGUAUUUCGGUAUGUAAAGCUCUAUCAGCAGGGAAGAAAAUGACGGUACCUGACUAAGAAGCCCCGGCUAACUACGUGCCAGCAGCCGCGGUAAUACGUAGGGGGCAAGCGUUAUCCGGAUUUACUGGGUGUAAAGGGAGCGUAGACGGCUAAUCAAGUCAGAAGUGAAAACCCAGGGCUCAGCUUUGGGACUGCUUUUGAAACUGUGCGGCUGGAGUGCAGGAGGGGUAAGCGGAAUUCCUAGUGUAGCGGUGAAAUGCGUAGAUAUUAGGAGGAACACCGGUGGCGAAGGCGGCUUACUGGACUGUAACUGACGUUGAGGCUCGAAAGCGUGGGGAGCAAACAGGAUUAGAUACCCGAGUAGUC